rnacentral:rRNA from 1 species
UACGUAGGGCGCAAGCGUUGUCCGGAAUUAUUGGGCGUAAAGAGCUCGUAGGCGGUCUGUCGCGUCUGGUGUGAAAUCCCAUGGCUCAACUGUGGGCUUGCAUCGGGUACGGGCAGACUAGAGUGCUGUAGGGGAGACUGGAAUUCCUGGUGUAGCGGUGGAAUGCGCAGAUAUCAGGAGGAACACCGAUGGCGAAGGCAGGUCUCUGGGCAGUUACUGACGCUGAGGAGCGAAAGCAUGGGGAGCGAACAGGAUUAGAUACCCUGGUAGUCCAUGCCGUAAACGUUGGGCACUAGGUGUGGGGCCAGUUCCACUGGUUCUGUGCCGCAGCUAACGCAUUAAGUGCCCCGCCUGGGGAGUACGGCCGCAAGGCUAAA